UGAGGUGAGGACUGUGGACAACAUGUUAUU
rnacentral:piRNA from 1 species